GACGAACGCUGGCGGCGUGCUUAACACAUGCAAGUCGAACGAUGAAGUUCCUUCGGGAAUGGAUUAGUGGCGAACGGGUGAGGAACGCGUGAACAAUCUGCCCCUUACACGGGAAUAACCUCGGGAAACCGAAGCUAAUACCCGAUAUUGAAUUCGGUAGGCAUCUACUGAAUUUGAAAUGGUCCGCCGGUAAGGGAUGAGUUCGCGGCCUAUCAGCUUGUUGGUGAGGUAAUGGCUCACCAAGGCGACGACGGGUAGCCGGCCUGAGAGGGCGACCGGCCACACUGGGACUGAGACACGGCCCAGACUCCUACGGGAGGCAGCAGUGGGGAAUAUUGCGCAAUGGACGAAAGUCUGACGCAGCAACGCCGCGUGAGGGAUGACGGCCUUCGGGUUGUAAACCUCUUUCAAUCGGGACGAAGCGAAAGUGACGGUACCUAAAGAAGAAGCACCGGCUAACUACGUGCCAGCCGCCGCUGUAA
rnacentral:rRNA from 1 species